rnacentral:rRNA from 1 species
GUUAAAAUUUAAAUCUCGAAUUAUUAGUAGUUAUGAUCUUGAAAAUUAAGAAAGAUGGCGGUGUUUUAGUCUAUUCAGAGGAAUCUGCCCUGUGAUUGAUAUUCCACGAUUUAAUUUACUUGAGUUUUUAGCUUAUAUAUCGCUGUGUAGAAUAUUUUUAAUGAAUUUUUAAUAUUCAAAAGUUUUAGUGAAAGAAUAUCAAGUCAAGAUGUAGCUUAUAUUUAAGGAGAGGUGGAUUACAUUAUUUUUAUUUUUGGUUAAUUUUUUGAAAAGAUUAUUAUAGAUUGGAUUUGAAAGUAAUUUGUUAUUAAGAUUUUAUAUGUGAUUAUAGCUCUAAAACA